GACGAACGCUGGCGGCGUGCUUAACACAUGCAAGUCGAACGAUGAAGCGCCAGCUUGCUGGUGUGGAUUAGUGGCGAACGGGUGAGUAACACGUGAGUAACCUGCCCCCUACUCUGUGAUAAGCCUGGGAAACUGGGUCUAAUACUGGAUAUGACCAAUCACUGCAUGGUGUGUUGGUGGAAAGAUUGUUUGGUGGGGGAUGGACUCGCGGCCUAUCAGCUUGUUGGUGGGGUAAUGGCCUACCAAGGCGACGACGGGUAGCCGGCCUGAGAGGGCGACCGGCCACACUGGGACUGAGACACGGACCAGACUCCUACGGGAGGCAGCAGUGGGGAAUAUUGCACAAUGGGCGAAAGCCUGAUGCAGCGACGCCGCGUGAGGGAUGACGGCCUUCGGGUUGUAAACCUCUUUCACCAGGGACGAAGCUAACGUGACGGUACCUGGAGAAGAAGCACCGGCUAACUACGUG
rnacentral:rRNA from 1 species